rnacentral:rRNA from 1 species
CGUAGGGGGCGAGCGUUGUCCGGAUUUAUUGGGCGUAAAGAGCUCGUAGGUGGCUGUUCAAGUCGGGUGUGAAAUCCCAAGGCUCAACCUUGGGUCUGCAUUCGAUACUGGGUGGCUUGAGUCUGGUAGGGGGACCUGGAAUUCCUGGUGUAGCGGUGGAAUGCGCAGAUAUCAGGAGGAACACCGGUGGCGAAGGCGGGGUCCUGGGCCAGUACUGACGCUGAGGAGCGAAAGCGUGGGGAGCAAACAGGAUUAGAUACCCUGGUAGUCCACGCUGUAAACGAUGGGUGCUAGGUGUGGGGGGUUAUCGACUCCUUCCGUGCCGCAGCUAACGCAGUAAGCACCCCGCCUGGGGAGUACGGCCGCAAGGCUA